AAGAUAUUAGUAUAAACAAUUACAUCACUUUGUCAAAGUGAAAAUAUGAAAUAAUAUUCAUGUAUCUUU
rnacentral:tRNA from 2 species